rnacentral:rRNA from 1 species
UACAGAGGGGGCAAGCGUUGUCCGGAAUUACUGGGUGUAAAGCGCGUGUAGGCGGUGAGUUAAGUCUGUUGUGAAAGCGCCCGGCUCAACCGGGCAGAGUCAAUGGAAACUAGCGCACUGGAGGUCGGUAGAGGCGAGUGGAAUUCCCGGUGUAGUGGUGAAAUGCGUAGAGAUCGGGAGGAACACUAGUGGCGAAGGCGGCUCGCUGGGCCGGACCUGACGCUGAGACGCGAAGGCGUGGGGAGCGAACGGG